CCUACGGGUGGCAGCAGUGAGGAAUAUUGGUCAAUGGUCGGAAGUCUGAACCAGCCAAGCCGCGUGCGGGAUGACGGUACAGAGUAUCGUAAACCGCUUUUGUCAGGGGACAAAGGCGGGGACGUGUCCCCGGCUGAGUGUACCUGAAGAAAAAGCAUCGGCUAACUCCGUGCCAGCAGCCGCGGUAAUACGGAGGAUGCAAGCGUUAUCCGGAUUUAUUGGGUUUAAAGGGUGGGUAGGCGGAUUGUUAAGUUAGCGGUGAAAUGGCCGGGCUUAACCCGGGCACUGCCUCUAAAACUGGUGGUCUAGAGUGGGGGUGAGGUAGGCGGAAUGUGUGGUGUAGCGGUGAAAUGCAUAGAGAUCGCACAGAACUCCGAUUGCGAAGGCAGCUUACCGAUCUAACACUGACGUUGAGGCACGAAAGCGUGGGUAGCGAACAGGAUUAGAUACCCGGGUAGUC
rnacentral:rRNA from 1 species